rnacentral:rRNA from 1 species
GACGAACGCUGGCGGCGUGCCUAAUACAUGCAAGUAGAACGCAGUUGCGAACGGGUGAGUAACGCGUAGGUAACUGCCUGGUAGUGGGGGAGAACUACUGCAAACGACAGCUAAUAACGCAUACUGACAGGUGGACCUGCGUUUUAUUAGCUAGUUGGUGGGGUAACGGUCAACCAAGGCAACGAUACAUAGCCUGCCUGAGAGGGUGAUCGGCCCCACUGGGACUGGGACACGGCCCAGACUCCUACGGGAGGCAGCAGUAGGGAAUCUUCGGCAAUGGACGGAAGUCUGACCGAGCAACGCCGCGUGAGUGAAGAAGGUUUUCGGAUCGUAAAGCUCUGUUGUAAGAGAAGCGGUAUCUUACCAGAAAGGGACGGCUAACUACGUGCCAGCAGCCGCGGUAAUUC